GACGAACCGAGCGAACGUUGUUCGGAAUCACUGGGCUUAAAGGGCGCGUAGGCGGUUCGUUAAGUCCUGUGUGAAAUCCCCCGGCUCAACUGGGGAACUGCACAGGAAACUAGCGGGCUUGAGUUCGGGAGAGGGAAGCGGAAUUCCGGGUGUAGUGGUGAAAUGCGUAGAGAUCCGGAGGAACACCAGUGGCGAAGGCGACACGCUGGGCCAUACCUGACGCUAAAGCGCGACAGCAUGGGGAGCAAACGGG
rnacentral:rRNA from 1 species